rnacentral:rRNA from 1 species
UGCUGCUUCGCUGACGAGUGGCGGACGGGUGAGUAAUGUCUGGGAAACUGCCUGAUGGAGGGGGAUAACUACUGGAAACGGUGGCUAAUACCGCAUAACGUCGCAAGACCAAAGAGGGGGACCUUCGGGCCUCUUGCCAUCAGAUGUGCCCAGAUGGGAUUAGCUUGUUGGUGAGGUAACGGCUCACCAAGGCGACGAUCCCUAGCUGGUCUGAGAGGAUGACCAGCCACACUGGAACUGAGACACGGUCCAGACUCCUACGGGAGGCAGCAGUGGGGAAUAUUGCACAAUGGGCGCAAGCCUGAUGCAGCCAUGCCGCGUGUAUGAAGAAGGCCUUCGGGUUGUAAAGUACUUUCAGCGGGGAGGAAGGUGUUGUGGUUAAUAACCGCAGCAAUUGACGUUACCCGCAGAAGAAGCACCGGCUAACUCCGUGCCAGCAGCCACGGUAAUACGGAGGGUGCAAGCGUUAAUCGGAAUUACUGGGCGUAAAGCGCACGCAGGCGGUCUGUCAAGUCGGAUGUGAAAUCCCCGGGCUCAACCUGGGAACUGCAUUCGAAACUGGCAGGCUUGAGUCUUGUAGAGGGGGGUAGAAUUCCAGGUGUAGCGGUGAAAUGCGUAGAGAUCUGGAGGAAUACCGGUGGCGAAGGCGGCCCCCUGGACAAAGACUGACGCUCAGGUGCGAAAGCGUGGGGAGCAAACAGGAUUAGAUACCCUGGUAGUCCACGCCGUAAACGAUGUCUACUUGGAGGUUGUGCCCUUGAGGCGUGGCUUCCGGAGCUAACGCGUUA